GUGCCAGGGGCCAGUCCUCGUAAGUCAGAUGUGCCAGUCGAAGUUGGCCUGGGCCAACCGGACCUUCCCAGCGUGGGGGGCAGCACGCGUUCCUGAAAGCGAGUGUUUGCAGGUGCAAUUUCUGACGGCCACGCGAGCAAAUUAGUGGGCGCUUCGGAACGCACACGCCGGAGGCAAAACCUGAGACUGCCGCUGGGGGAAAAAAGGCUUCUUUGAAGACUAUCCUACCCUGAUUGUGACUCAGAGCUCGUGUACUACGGAAUGGAAGAAGGCCGGAGAGCAGUGGCCUCUAUUGCGCAGUUCCUGAGGACACAUGCAGAGGUGGAAAUAAAAGCCCAGAAGCCCCUGUGGUCCCAGGAGUCUGGCCUUGCUCACUGUGUUGAAAGCUGUUUAGAUGAUCAUCCUUCUGCGUCCUACUCAGAGAUGAUGAUGGUGCUGGACUCCAGGCUUCCUGCUCUCCCCAGCUCCCUGGUUCCUGGGAAGUUUUUGAUGUGAUUAUCAUCUGAGUGACACUGCUUGCCCUCUGGUUGUUUGGUGAGCCUUGGGGACAAAGUGGUUCUGAUAACUCUCUUCAGUAACUGACCUUUAUUCAACAGCACACACCUUUUAAUUUGCAUUGAAAUUUAAAAAAAUUUCAUUUUAGGCACUCUGGUUAACAACACAGUUCAUGGUAGGGGUUCACGCAUAAAACAUCCCAACAACACACCCUCUACCAGUGUUUGCUUUCCUCCAUCAUUGUCUCCGUGUUUACCCAAACCCACUCCUUCCCCCUCCCCGCCCCCUGCUCCUGGUAAAUUUUCUACUGAAGAACAGCUUUCAGCUUCUGUUGCCUUUAAUCAUUUUUCUACUAUUAUGUUUCUUUAUAGUCCACAUACUAGAGAAAUCAGUCUGUCUCUGCCCCUCUCCUUGAUUUACUUUUUUUUUUUUAAACAGUCUGCUGGUUACCCAUGUCAUUGUGUCUCUCUGGUCCAAACCUCAGUAAGGA